CUGACCUCAAAUCGGGUGAGACUACCCGCUGAA
rnacentral:rRNA from 1 species